AUGCGCAGCUACCCACAAUGCAGCCGGCGCGCGCCGCUCCGCCCCCUUUUGCAUCACUCGCCACGGCACUUUACGGCUCCGUCGCGGAUUCUUUUGGCGGGUAGUCCCGCCCCCUCGUGCUCCGAAGACCCGCCCCUCUGUCCGGGGAUUGGUUAUGCGUCCCUGCCGCCCCGCGGUGACUGGCUCCCGCUCCUGCCACUCCUUUUCAGGCUUGUGGCGCGCGGCGGGGCGGCGACCGGCGGCAGCGUGAUCGGCGGCGGCGGCGGCGGAAGUGGCCGGGGAGCCCGGUCCCCGCCGACACCAUGCUUCCCCUGUCGCUGCUGAAGACGGCGCAGAACCACCCCAUGCUGGUGGAGCUGAAGAACGGGGAGACGUACAACGGGCACCUGGUCAGCUGCGACAACUGGAUGAACAUCAACCUGCGGGAGGUGAUCUGCACGUCCAGG
rnacentral:lncRNA from 1 species